rnacentral:lncRNA from 1 species
GAAAACUAAAGCAGCCACUUCAAAAUUAAGUUCACAAAAGAACACUAGGGCAAAAGAUUUAGCUUGGGCUAGAGAAAACAAUUUAAGCAAACCAACAUGUCCUAUAUUUCCACUUCAAAAGAUUAACACCAAAGAAUGUAACCCAGGAAUCAGAUAAUCAUGUGCGACACACAGAAAAUUUUCUUGUCCAGCAGUAGCAAAAACAUGGCAGAGACGAUGAUAUUCAGGCCGUAAAUACUCGGCGAAAGUUAACUUACUCACAAAUUAUCUCACUAAUACAUAGGCUUUACCAGGAAAAUGAUGAACACAUAAACUAACAUCUCGAACUUAAUAGGGAUUCAAAUAUGCCUACGACUUCAUUUUUGAUGCAUAUGACGAACAUAGCAUGAUUAAUAUAGGCAGCCUGAGGAACUUUGUUAUGCCCUUUGGAUUGCCAGAUUGAAAAGGCUUUUGAAAGUUUCCAUUCAAACUGUGUACACAUCAAUUUAAUCAAGAAUGAUCCCCUUAAGACUUAUGUUGACUUCAAACUUACAACUAUUGGAGGAAAAUACAACAACUUCAAAGGCAAGAUUGUCCAAAAUACACAUAGCCCAUCUGUUGGAACAAAGAUCAUUUAAUCGGGGAAUGGAACCCCAUCCUUGAAGAAAUUCCCAAGCAAGCACGUAAUUCAGUUCCUAUCUAUCAGCUCGGAACUGAAAAAUAACUCAAGAAUGGUGAACUUAUGAACUCAUGAACAUAGGACUCUAACGUUCUUCUCAUGAGAACCUAUUUAGGCAGAAACUAAUACCUGCUCAAAUGUAAUAUUUUAUACUCAUACUGUCAUGUUCGAAAUUAAGCAAACCUAUGAUUCAACCUCCAUGUUUCAACAGGCAAGAGAGUUUUAUGUUAACAGACCAACCAACCAUAACGGGAAAACUUUGCAAACAUCAGGGGAGCUAGUCGACCUAAAACUAACAGUAAUGUGACACCCUUCUGGAAUCCAUACAAUCACAAAGCUGAAGGCAAUUGUUCAUUUGAAAAUGAUGGAAUCUUGACUCAAAUGAAAAACUAGAUAUCAAAAUAACAUUUAAAGCAUACAGAGGGUAAGCAAAACAAUCAAUUCAGCUCCUAUUGACUGACCAUACUCAGCCCGUCAAAAUAAUGAGAAAGGACUAAUCAGCAAGAUAACAUAUCAAUAUCGUUCCAGGAUAUGAAUCGAGACUAAAUGAUAAACCCAUGCUCGACUUCUUUAUGAAAUUCGAUCAAACAAGAGAAAGAAAACAAAUCGCCAGACUUUAAAAAAACACCUUAGAACAGAGGUACAUAGGAUAAGAAGUCGAACCUGACAUUGCAAAUUUUAUUAAUAAUAAUUACAGACUCAGCAAAUACCCUUUGAUUCUAAGAUCCGAGCGAGGUUCAACAGCAAAUCAAUAGGACAGUAGUAGAAACAAAGUCGACAAACGUCAACCUCAUGAAUACUCAAUAGACCUCAGUUGAUUUCCAUCUUUUUGGAACCCCGAAAUCAGAUUGAAUUUCAAUUUUUCAAAGAAGUUUUCCCAGAAAAGGAAUGAGAAGUCCUAAAAAUUCCUUAAACCUUUUUCUUCCAAUUUUACUCUCAAAUUCCUUUUUCUUGUGAAAUUUUCUGAUUUCUGAGGCAAACUAAGAACAUACGAAAAAAUUCAAAAUUUUUAGCAUAGAAUAGAGAAGAAGACGGAAAUAAUGAAUCAAAAAAAAGAAAACCAGAACCUAAUCCUUAGUCUUUUAUCUCCUGUUGUAAUACCAGAAAUCAGACAGCCAUCAAAGAAAUCUCCCUCAAAUCUGUUUCCCCAGAUAAAAAAAAUCCCCCUUUUAAAGAAAAAUCCUCACCUUAUAUAGAUAUUCUAGAAGUCUCAAGCCCUCCUCACCAAGAAAUCCCCAAACUUAUCCCCCAAAUACACAAGAAAUGAGCCCCAGUCUCACAUAGA